GAUGAACGCUAGCGGCAGGCCUAAUACAUGCAAGUCUAGGGGGCAGCAAUGUCACCGGCAGACGGGUGCGUAACGCGUAUGCAACCUUCCCCCACCAGGGGUAUAGCCUGUGGAAACACGGAUUAAUCCCCAUAACGCAGGGUGGCCCGCAUGGGUCUAUUUGCUAAAGGUUUUUCCGGGUGGGGAUGGGCAUGCGUCCCAUUAGCUAGUUGGCGGGGUAACGGCCCACCAAGGCUACGAUGGGUAGGGGCCCUGAGAGGGGGGUCCCCCACACUGGCACUGAGACACGGGCCAGACUCCUACGGGAGGCAGCAGUAGGGAAUAUUGGGCAAUGGGCGGCAGCCUGACCCAGCCAUGCCGCGUGUGCGACGAAGGCCCUCGGGUCGUAAAGCACUUUUAUUCGGGAAGACACGCGGGGUGCGCCCCGCUAUGACGGUACCGAAGGAAUAAGCAACCGGCUAACUCCGUGCCAGCAGCCGCGGUAAU
rnacentral:rRNA from 1 species